UAUCUUUCUUCUAAAAACAGUUCUGUCUUUACUCUCUACUAACUCCUGAGGGAAAUAUCUAAAUGCUCCACUAUGUUCACCAGCUAGUCUACAGAUAACUGAGUCUGUUUGUCUGUUUGGUGCUGAUCAGGUAUGUGGAGGGUGGAGUCC